GACAGGGAGCUUAAGAUGUAUAUAAGCACUAGAAAAAAUCUUCUAACCUUGAGUUGGUCUGGUGAGUUACUCUGACCUUCUCCUUGUAACUGGUUGCAGAAAUAAACUCCCUUCUUUCCCAGUCUGCCUGCAUCUCAUUAUUGGAUCACCAGGACAAGCAGCCAGGCCUCAUUCUGUCCGGGAGCAAAUCUGGUAACUCUCCCAGGAGAGCUCAGCAGCCAGCGGCUCGCAAAGAGGUAGUCUUUGGGUGACCCCCAGCAGCUGCCUGGUAUGGUUUGUCCUGGGGACUCUCCUGAGGACCUUUCUGGCUGCAAAGACUGCCCGUCUCUCUAUUACUGGGAAAGAAUAGAGAUUGGGAGCAGUUGCACUCAAAAGCCCUGCAGCUAGCUGUCCCAAGUAAACAACGCUCUUGGAGUAAAUUGGAAACUCACACAGCAUGGAAACCACAACCUUCUGGACAGACUGAAAGGAUGAAUCAAACACGAAAACAGUGCCAAACUGUGCCAACUAAAAUGGAUUCAGCUUGCUUGCAACAGGAGUAUCGUAAACUCAGCGAAACUGUGUCACUUGUACCAGCCUGGUGAUCAAGUGCUGCUGAAAGAAUAAAGAGAAAUGAGCCCAAGUCAGCAGCUACAGGAGAAAUAGAAAGGGCCCCAUGACAUGCUGCUGACUACCAAUUUGGCAAUGAAACUGGCUGGCAUCAAGCCAUGGAUCCACCACAUGCCCGUGAAGAAGUUCCUGCCGGAGGAAACAUUCAUGACACAGGACACCAAGGCUGCCAAAUGGGAGACAGAACCCCUUGAAGGCCUAGGAUUUCUGUUCAAAAGAUGAUAAAGUAUUGUUUUACAUUGUUACAUUGCUGCUUUACAUUGCUGCUGUUUUACAUUGUUAUUUCUGCGUACCUCUAACCUUUUCCUACAAUGGGCAAAGGUUAUGCAAAUAGCUUACAGCAAGACUCUUGCUGGGUCUGUGCUCUAUUACCCCUCUCUGGCACCAUGGGGCUGCCUUGGUGCAUCCCCCACAUACAAGGAAAAAUUAGGUUUAUAAUAUCUUGAUUUUGUAGAACACCUUCCUGGUGGCAGAAAAUUCUUCUUGUCCUAGCUGCCUUCCUGGGCAUGAGCAUAAUACUAUGUUGUGAACUAUAUUAUUGUUAUAUGCUGUUCCAAAACAUUCCUCAGGCUCACAAGAUCAUGUCUUAUCAGGCGCUGCCUUUGAGUCUCUAAAGCCAGAAACAUUACCAGCACCAGAUAGACAUCUUCCACUCUAGCACCCCUUGAUGACAACCCUCUUCAGCAGGAAGUAGAUGGAGGGAAUGCAUACCCACUUUCCCUUAGUCGGCUAUGUCAUAGUUUACACUUUUGCACUAGCCUUUUAACAAACCAGUACUUGAAAAAAUUAACUAACAUGCUAGAAAUCACGUACAAAUUGACAGUGGGGAUUGUGGCAGGCCAGGUUUCCAUUAGCAACCAGAACAGUCAGUUUUCACUAAUCCUUUACUAUAACUCUGAUGAAUAUAUAAGUUAAACAUUAAAGAACUGGAGAAACUGGUCACUAAGUACAAUGGCUGGAAUGCAAAAACAAACCCAUUAAGACCCCAGACCCUAAUGAUUAGAUACAGAUUGAAAGAAACACUCCUGCUUGUAGGUGCACUCCCACACAUAGGCAGAGAGCUUAAAAUGUGUAUAUGCACUAGAAAAAAUAUUGUAACUGCGUUGGUCUGAUGAGUUACUCUGACCUUCUCCUUGUAACUGGUUGCAAAAAUAAACUUUCUUUUUCCCCA
rnacentral:lncRNA from 1 species